rnacentral:rRNA from 1 species
GAUGAACGCUGGCGGCAUGCUUAGCACAUGCAAGUCGAACGGGAAGUGGUGUUUCCAGUGGCGAACGGGUGAGUAACGCGUAAGAACCUGCCCUUGGGAGGGGAACAACAACUGGAAACGGUUGCUAAUACCCCGUAGGCUGAGGAGCAAAAGGAGAAAUCCGCCCAAGGAGGGGCUCGCGUCUGAUUAGCUAGUUGGUGAGGUAAUAGCUUACCAAGGCGAUGAUCAGUAGCUGGUCCGAGAGGAUGAUCAGCCACACUGGGACUGAGACACGGCCCAGACUCCUACGGGAGGCAGCAGUGGGGAAUUUUCCGCAAUGGGCGAAAGCCUGACGGAGCAAUGCCGCGUGGAGGUGGAAGGCCUACGGGUCGUCAACUUCUUUUCUCGGAGAAGAAACAAUGACGGUAUCUGAGGAAUAAGCAUCGGCUAACUCUGUG